AGGACUUUAUGUUAUAACUUAAUUAAGAAAAUAAGAUGUAUUAAUGGUUAAAUAGAUUAUGGUGAUGAUAUUGUUGAAAAGGGAAGCAUAUAUAUAUACGUGGUGGGGUAGGAAGCUAAAGAAGUAGGGGGGGGAAAGGACUAGUACUACGAUGAAAGUGCAAGAAAAGUACAUGGGUUGUGAUUGUGAAAAAUUGAGUAAGGACAAAUAUAAGAAAAUCUCCGGCGAGUAGUGAUCUUAAUUAAGCAAUGGAUUUGGGUUAAUCUCCGGCGAGUAGUGAUCUUAAUUAAGCAAUGGAUUUGGGUUUGGUAUAAUAAUACGGUGAUGAGAGACAAUCAUACAUGCCCUGUUGUUUUAGUUGAUGUAAAUGUUUAAGAGAUGAUGUCGAAUAAACAAUGUUGUUCCUCAAGGGUAGGGGUUUUUGUCCCUUUUGUUUUGAGGGUAUGAACUGAACUCCUUCGGUCCCAUACGUAUUCGAUAUAAAGGGUACAAUGCUUGUGACAUGCAUGUGAUAAAGCAUGAGCGAUAUUUGGUAUCUUUCGUUGUUCGUUUAUUUUGGUCAAACCUAUUCCAACUCACUUCGACUUCAAGUGGAGAAUAGUAUAGGGAUAUCACACCCCUUGCCCCCCGAUUCAAUUAUCAAUUUCUUACUUUCUUCUUCUUUUUCUAUUCAGAUACAAAUUUAUUAAUAUUUCCCUCUGCCUCAAUCUUCACAUUUUUCAUAAUCAUUUCAUCAUAUAUAACAUCCUAUUUAAAUAAUAACACUAAGUAACUCGUUUUUCAUUUAGUUUAUCAGAUAAUAUCUCCUUAGAUCAUUAUAAUACGGUUUAUUAAGAGUUAGAACAAAUUUUGGAAAAGGUUUCGUUGGAUAUAUAUGUGUGUAUGAAGUAGCAUUUUUCUUUUCAAUGGCCAAGACAAGUGUUAUUAAUGGGCACAAGAGGUGCCACUCAAUUCACCAAUUAAAAAUUGAAAAGUUUUUCCCU
rnacentral:lncRNA from 1 species